rnacentral:lncRNA from 1 species
AUGUACAUACUAGUUGAGUUUGAAGAAAAUAAUUCCACCAAUAUUGUACCGGAGAUAUGGUAUCAAGAUGGAAUGGCUCGGUGGCCAAACUACAAGAAUGACAAAAAGAUAAACCAGGCAAUUGAGAAGAAGGAACAACCAGGGGCUGACUGGUCUUGCCAUGUUGCUCGAGUACUUGCAAAAGCUGCCACUUACCAAGAGGCCAGGAAAAAAAUGAACCAAUCAAUUACUUGUUGCACCUCAGAGCUACAGUCUGAAGAGGAAGACGAAUCGCUAUUAAGAAAAAAACGAAAAAGACAAAGAAGUGUCAGAUUGCAUGAUUAUCAUGAAGAGGAUGAAGAGUUGAAUGAGGAAUGUAGUCAUAGAAAUAGACCCCCACUGCCAGUUCCUCCAACAUUACCACCUCCAACAAUAACAGCUGUCAGCAAGAGUGCUUGGGAAAACCCUUCAUUCAGUAGAGAGACACAUGAACGGCCUUGUACACAAGUGGAAAAUUCUGAGAGUGGAAGCUUGGUCCGUGAGGCCCCUGUGUCGUACAGAGAAAUGCUAAAUGACCAGGUCUGGGAGCCUCUGCCAACUUACAGUGCACCAAGACCUGUCUCACAAAACAAAGAUGUGUGGAGAGCAGCAGUCUCUUUCAGAGAGAAAACUGCAGAACCCCCUAGUGUUGAAACAUCAAGACCUGCUCAUGAAUGUGCAGAAUGGGGAACCCCUUUCAGAGAGAUUAUAAACAACCCAACCUCUAUGGCUCUUCCUCAUCUUUCCUUGCCCCAAGACCUGCCUCACAAGACAGAGGUUCGUGGAGAGCAGCAGUCAACUACAGAGGUAUUGUCUAUGCACUGUUUGCACAUACAGCUUCAUGAAAGUAAACUUCAAGUAACUAUCCUACUAAUCUUGUAUCAGGAAACUCAUUUGAAGCAAAGUAGUGUAGUAAUCAUUGUAAUUCUGA